rnacentral:rRNA from 1 species
UACGGAGGGUGCAAACGUUGCUCGGAAUCAUUGGGCGUAAAGCGCACGUAGGCGGCCCGUUAAGUCGGAUGUGAAAUCCCUCGGCUCAACUGAGGAAGUGCAUUCGAUACUGGCGGGCUUGAAUAUGGAAGAGGGUCGCGGAAUUCCCGGUGUAGAGGUGAAAUUCGUAGAUAUCGGGAGGAACACCAGUGGCGAAGGCGGCGACCUGGGCCAAUAUUGACGCUGAGGUGCGAAAGCGUGGGGAGCAAACAGG